rnacentral:rRNA from 1 species
CAGUAGCCGCGGGAAUACAGAGGGUGCGAGCGUUAAUCGGAUUUACUGGGCGUAAAGCGUGCGUAGGCGGCUUCUUAAGUCGGAUGUGAAAUCCCUGAGCUUAACUUAGGAAUUGCAUUUGAUACUGGGAAGCUAGAGUAUGGGAGAGGAUGGUAGAAUUCCAGGUGUAGCGGUGAAAUGCGUAGAGAUCUGGAGGAAUACCGAUGGCGAAGGCAGCCAUCUGGCCUAAUACUGACGCUGAGGUACGAAAGCAUGGGGAGCAAACAGGAUUAGAUACCCCCGUAGUCCCUGUCUCUUAUAC